rnacentral:rRNA from 1 species
GCAAGUCGAGCGGUAACAGAAAGUAGCUUGCUACUUUGCUGACGAGCGGCGGACGGGUGAGUAAUGCUUGGGAACAUGCCUUGAGGUGGGGGACAACAGUUGGAAACGACUGCUAAUACCGCAUAAUGUCUACGGACCAAAGGGGGCUUCGGCUCUCGCCUUUAGAUUGGCCCAAGUGGGAUUAGCUAGUUGGUGAGGUAAUGGCUCACCAAGGCGACGAUCCCUAGCUGGUUUGAGAGGAUGAUCAGCCACACUGGGACUGAGACACGGCCCAGACUCCUACGGGAGGCAGCAGUGGGGAAUAUUGCACAAUGGGCGCAAGCCUGAUGCAGCCAUGCCGCGUGUGUGAAGAAGGCCUUCGGGUUGUAAAGCACUUUCAGUCAGGAGGAAAGGUUAGUAGUUAAUACCUGCUAGCUGUGACGUUACUGACAGAAGAAGCACCGGCUAACUCCGUGCCAGCAGCCGCGGUAAUACGGAGGGUGCGAGCGUUAAUCGGAAUUACUGGGCGUAAAGCGUACGCAGGCGGUUUGUUAAGCGAGAUGUGAAAGCCCCGGGCUCAACCUGGGAACUGCAUUUCGAACUGGCAAACUAGAGUGUGAUAGAGGGUGGUA